rnacentral:ncRNA from 1 species
GCGCUGCCCUGAAUUCUUUGGGGCAAGAUUCAGCAAUGAAUCUUUAAAAACUGGGUGAAUUCGGGGAACAUCCCGCUUUGGCGGGACAAUCCCGAGCCAAUCCUCCGCCGGGAGGCUACGGAUUGCAAGCCGAAGUAAUUUUUAGAAGGCUUGCCUGCCGUAGCUUUAGCGAAGGCAGGUGUAGAGACUAGCGAGUGAGUCCCAACAAUAACCUCGCAUAAGCGCCCAGCUCCGUCGAUUAUUGAUUUCGGCGGAUGAUGAGAUAGUCCAAUUUGCUUCGGAAGAGGCAG